rnacentral:piRNA from 1 species
UGCCUAAUAGUAAGAACUGACUCUAAAAU